rnacentral:rRNA from 1 species
CCUACGGGAGGCAGCAGUGGGGAAUAUUGCACAAUGGGGGCAACCCUGACGCAGCGAUGCCGCGUGAGUGAAGAAGGAUUUCGGUUUGUAAAGCUCUAUCAGAAGGGACGAAAAUGACGGUAGCUGAUUAAGAAGCACCGGCAAAAUACGUGCCAGCAGCCGCGGUAAUACGUAGGGUGCGAGCGUUGUUCGGAUUUACUGGGUGUAAAGGGAGUGUAGGCGGACAUGCAAGUUUGAGGUGAAAUACCGGGGCUCAACCCCGGAGCUGCCAUGAUGACUGUGUGUCUGGAGUGUCGGAGAGGCAGGCGGAAUACCUAGUGUAGAGGUGAAAUGCGUAGAUAUUGGGUGGAACACCAGUGGCGAAGGCGGCCAGCUGGACAAUGACUGACGCUGAGGCUCGAAAGCAUGGGGAGCAAACAGGAUUAGAUACCCUUGUAGUC